AUUGAACGCUGGCGGCAUGCUUUACACAUGCAAGUCGAACGGUAACAGGCCUUCGGGUGCUGACGGGUGGCGAACGGGUGAGUAAUGCAUCGGAACGUACCCAGAGGUGGGGGAUAACGCAGCGAAAGCUGUGCUAAUACCGCAUGUGAUCUGAGGAUGAAAGCGGGGGACCGAGCAGCAAUGUUUGGCCUCGCGCCUUUGGAGCGGCCGAUGUCGGAUAGCUAGUUGGUGGGGUAAAGGCCUACCAAGGCGACGAUCCGUAGCUGGUCUGAGAGGACGACCAGCCACACUGGGACUGAGACGCGGCCCAGACUCCUACGGGAGGCAGCAGUGGGGAAUUUUGGACAAAGGGCGCAAGCCUGAUCCAGCAAUGCCGCGUGCGGGAAGAAGGCCUUCGGGUUGUAAACCGCUUUUGGCAGGAACGAAACGGUGUCCGCUAAUACCGGGCGCUAAUGACGGUACCUGCAGAAUAAGCACCGGCUAACUACGUG
rnacentral:rRNA from 1 species